GAAACAGGUGCUAAUACCGCAUAACCAUAGUUACCGCAUGGUAACUAUGUAAAAGGUGGCUAUGCUACCGCUUUUGGAUGGGCCCGCGACGCAUUAGCUAGUUGGUGGGGUAAAGGCUUACCAAGGCAAUGAUGCGUAGCCGAACUGAGAGGUUGAUCGGCCACAUUGGGACUGAGACACGGCCCAAACUCCUACGGGAGGCAGCAGUAGGGAAUCUUCCACAAUGGGCGAAAGCCUGAUGGAGCAACGCCGCGUGGGUGAAGAAGGUCUUCGGAUCGUAAAACCCUGUUGUUAGAGAAGAAAGUGCGUGAGAGUAACUGUUCACGUUUCGACGGUAUCUAACCAGAAAGCCACGGCUAACUACGUGCCAGCAGCCGCGGUAAUACGUAGGUGGCAAGCGUUAUCCGGAUUUAUUGGGCGUAAAGAGAACGCAGGCGGUCUUUUAAGUCUGAUGUGAAAGCCUUCGGCUUAACCGGAGUAGUGCAUUGGAAACUGGGAGACUUGAGUGCAGAAGAGGAGAGUGGAACUCCAUGUGUAGCGGUGAAAUGCGUAGAUAUAUGGAAGAACACCAGUGGCGAAAGCGGCUCUCUGGUCUGUAACUGACGCUGAGGUUCGAAAGCGUGGGUAGCAAACAGGAUUAGAUACCCUGGUAGUCC
rnacentral:rRNA from 1 species